rnacentral:rRNA from 1 species
UGGGGAAUAUUGGACAAUGGGCGAAAGCCUGAUCCAGCCAUGCCGCGUGUGUGAAGAAGGUCUUCGGAUUGUAAAGCACUUUAAGUUGGGAGGAAGGGCAGUAAACGAAUACCUUGCUGUUUUGACGUUACCGACAGAAUAAGCACCGGCUAACUCUGUGCCAGCAGCCGCGGUAAUACAGAGGGUGCAAGCGUUAAUCGGAAUUACUGGGCGUAAAGCGCGCGGAGGUGGUUCGUUAAGUUGAAUGUGAAAGCCCCGGGCUCAACCUGGGAACUGCAUCCAAAACUGGCGAGCUAGAGUAGGGCAGAGGGUGGUGGAAUUUCCUGUGUAGCGGUGAAAUGCGUAGAUAUAGGAAGGAACACCAGUGGCGAAGGCGACCACCUGGGCUCAUACUGACACUGAGGUGCGAAAGCGUGGGGAGCAAACAGG